UACGUAGGGUGCGAGCGUUGUCCGGAAUUACUGGGCGUAAAGAGCUCGUAGGUGGUUUGUCGCGUUGUUCGUGAAAACUCACAGCUCAACUGUGGGCGUGCGGGCGAUACGGGCAGACUUGAGUACUGCAGGGGAGACUGGAAUUCCUGGUGUAGCGGUGGAAUGCGCAGAUAUCAGGAGGAACACCGGUGGCGAAGGCGGGUCUCUGGGCAGGAACUGACGCUGAGGAGCGAAAGCGUGGGGAGCGAACAGG
rnacentral:rRNA from 1 species